GCGGUCGAUAGGAUGCGGGGGACUUGAACAGAGGAGGCGCUCGAGGGAGACCAAUCGCGCGAGGAGAUCGAGCGCUAGGAAAUCCAGCCGAGGCGAGCAAGGAGGCGCGCGAGUGGAUCUAGCGCCACAUGGGUUCAGCCGAUGCGCGCGAGGGGAGCCGGUCCAGUCGAUGAGGGGAUGCAGCGGACUCACAGGAUGCGGAUGAACAAGGGGCCGACCGAUCCAGCCGGCGCGGUCGAUCCGCGUGCGAAGUGGAAAGGGGGGACGUGGGUGAUGAUGGCCGGCCGGCGCCUCAUCUCCUGGAAACUGCUCGUAAUCAUACUUCAGUUUCUAUGCACACAUUCAUGGCGAUUGAUGUGCCAAUCCUUCCGGUGCCGAGAGUGGUGAUGUUCAUACUAGCUGUGCUCGAUUCAUUCCAUUUUGGAGCAUGUCACUGGAAUUGUUUUUGCUUAGCAGUUGCAUGCGCCCCAACGACAUUGGUCGCCAGCAUCAAGCUGCCAGGUAAUUCCUCACCUCCAGGCCACCGUUGCUCCGGACAAGUUCUGCUGCCCAAGUGUGAGACAUUCCUCAACGCCUCUCUGCUCCAAUCGCUUAUCAAAUUUGAAGUUGCCCUGAGACAAAUUGGAAGAUGGAAGGAAGUUAUGUGCUCUCAGACAUCCCUCAGUUUAGCACGAACACAAUUUUUAUAUGUGUAUCAUUCACACCAUUGUAUUAUUAAUUAUUUUGUUGUCAAUAGGGGGCAAUAAUAUGGAGGACUAUGAUGCAGGAGGCAUCCCUGGAGAGUGGAGAUGCAUGAGGAAGCAUUGAUACAGUGAGAGAUAAGACCUCAACUAGGAUCAUAUUGGUUUUGGAAAAGGGUUCCUGCUGCUGCUGGUGCAAGAUCAAUGUUACGAAGUGGUUCCGUUACCAAAUGCAGUGACAAAAUUGUCCGCAGUGGAGUUGAGGAAGAGGCGGGACGAGUGCAAGUAGUGGUGGGUUAAGACAGUACCGACUGAUGUUUCGCCAGCUCAAGGCCAUCUCCCGGCGAUGUCCUCCAUAACUAGGAUCCACUCAUUGCCACCUAGGCAUCUACCUCUGCUGCGAACAAUGAUAUGCAUAAUCACCAUUUUGGGUCUGUUCAGUUUUCUGCAUGGUAAUAAUUUUAUUACUAAAACAUGGAGUAUUUGGUUGCAUUCUAUGUAUUUGUUUUUGGUAGGAAAGCUCUGGUAGAUGUGGUCCAUUCCGUACUUAACAUCGUAUAAAUGAUUCUAUAAUUUUAUCCUGAUUAACCAACUGUUGAGGAGUUCAACAUGGUUUGUUAGAUUUCUGAAGAAACAUGUCAGAUGACUAGCUUUGAGAUUACGAAACAUAAACAAUUGGUACUUCUGUAUGUUAAGCUAGCUCCAAGUGUAGGUGUUAUGUCAUCUCAUGCCAUGACAUCCAAUCUUUGUUAACUUAGGUGAUGUUAUUGUCCACAAUGGUGAGAUUUGUUUCAUCUUUCAGUCUAUUAUUUAGUUCGCCAAAGUGCAGGGACUUCGCCCAACAACUUCAUAUGGGAUAGGUACAAUACAAUUGCAACUUGAAAUCAGUAAGACUACCAUUGUCUUCGGAUGGUGCAUGACCAUGAUCAUUUGUUUGUGCUUCAAAUUACUACUUUCAUUCUCUUCUUAUUAUUUACUUUUUUGUGUAAUUGAAUUUUUCUAGGUCUGGGUUAGAUUAAAUAUCUUGGUGCUGAUGAGGUCAUCGUAGAAAGAAGAAUGUCAAUAGGUUUGCUAACCUGCAUUUCCCACGUUGUUGUCCUAAAACACUUCUGUUUUUUUGUAGGGUCUUCAACACUAAUGUUACUUGCCUAACCCAUCCAAGCCCUAUAUAUGUAUUUGUAUACUAAUUUGUUGGAAACAAGUAGUAUUCUCAUUUGAGAAAGUAAACAUUUAGCAAAUUUAAUACUUCGUGUCUCCAUAUAUUUGCGUAAGUUCCUGUCAUCCUGUUGGGGAAACAGAUGGGUCCGGCAACGCGCGGCAUUAUAUCUCUGCAUUGAUUCUUUUCACUUAAAUCUUUCUAACCGCCACUCCUUGCAUAUUGACAUGUCCAUUGGUAUAAAAAUUAGUGACAUCAACUAAUCAAUAAUAAUAUCAGAUAUUUCAGAUAACAAGACAGAAAUGAAUGGGUGCAAGGAGAUGGAAAACAAGAUCAUUGACCAGAUCAAGGGUCAAUGAUCUACAAGUCCAUACAAGUCAUCUCAAACAUCAUGACAUCAGUACAACAAGCGUAGUCCUGGAUCCAACAAAUGGACUCGGAUCUUGAUACACAUAAUACUAAGAACAUGGCUUACUUGACGAAGAUGACAGUUACGUUAAAUGAUGAAUAUUUGGUCUGCCUACAUGAAUAUUUGGUUUGCCUACAUGAUGGUUCCGAAGUUUUUCACUGGAAAUAGGAAUUCAGUUCUUCCAUGUCUAUAUAUUUGU